rnacentral:tRNA from 1 species
GGGAAGUUGGCUCAGUGGUAGAGCGCUUGCCUUGCAUGCAAGAGGCCCUGGGUUCGAUUCCUUAGCACCACA